AUGCAUUUCGAAGACCAUGAGUUCGAGGUGGACAAGGAGGGUGAGGGCAUUGUCGAUGCACCGAAAGGAAGAGCGGGCAAUUACACCAACGUCGAUGACAUCUUACUAUGCAAUACUUGGUUGCAAGUGUCGAGGGAUCCAUCCGUUGGAGGUGAUCAAAGUAGAGAUGCUUAUUGGGGGCGGAUGAAAGAACACUUUGAUGUUCACAACUUGAGUGGAAUUGACUGCUCCGAGAGAUCACUUCGGUCCCGAUGGUCGACAAUCAACUCAGAUUGUCAAAGGUGGGCGGCCUGUCAAAAGGCGGUUGACAAGUUGAACCCAAGUGGCACAAAUGCGAGGACGAUAGAGUAA
rnacentral:rRNA from 1 species